AUGGCGCAUGCCCUUGCCCUCUCCGCGGUCGGCGAUUGCGUGGUGCCGCCGGUGGCCCCGCCGUCCCUUCCCCGACGCCUUGUCAAGGCUGACCCGGAGCCGCAGCCGGAGCCCGAGCGGGAGCUGGAGCCCAUCGCGCGCUUCCUGGACGGGAGUGGUGCGCGAGUGGGUGUCCGCGCCACCGGUUUGGAUGGGGGCGACCCCGACGCAGGAGGCGGCAUACCUCGAGAUGUGGCGCCAGCGAUGGCUGGACGAGGAGCGCAACGACGACAAGUACGAGGAGAUGCUCGAGCGCGACCUCGAGGAGGAGGCGCGCGAGGUUGA
rnacentral:rRNA from 1 species